UCUAUGAUUAAGAAUUCCUUUUAAGAAUCCUAAAUGGUAGCAAUUAACCACAUAUUGCAUAUGUACAUAUAUAUUACAUAUACCCAGAAAGAGAUGUUAAAUAAACACUAAACAUAUGCAAACGUAAGCAUUUGUAUUUGAAGAGAAGGCAAGCUCUCUUGUCUUUUUUGUAAACCUAAGAACAGAUAUGAAAAAAAAAAAAAAAGUAAAAAAGAGAAAAAAAGAAGAGAGGAAAAAUACAUUAUUUCUUCCCUUAUGUUUACUUGGUUGUUUUUGGUUGUACCGAGUCAUUGACCACUUCUCAAGAUGAAGGGACUCCACCCACUGCUUUGGAAUAUUUAAUUUGCUAUGCUGAAUCUCAGUGUCUAUUAUCUCAGCAUUCAUUAUUUUCUCAAAAAGAUAAAACUUCAGCCACGUUGGCAUUUAAAACUACUGAAAAUACAAGGUAAAAGCAAUGCACAUGCAGGGAACCUGAUGUUCAAGAACUCCUAGUAGCCUCAUUCAGCACUUCUGAAUGUAACUCAAAUGGCAUAUUAGAAUGUCCACAGGGAGAAGAAUUCCUCAUUCAUCUGUGAAUGGUGCCAGAAUGUGACAGAUCUCAGAAGGGAGCCAUGCUUUUUCCUACUCUGAUAAGUAGAGGUUAUAGCAUUCCUACACUGAGAAACUGGAGGAGACAGAAUUGUGAAACAGGAUAAAGAGAGAAACGGAUGAAAAGCUAUGCAGAGUAACAGUGGACUCAGAAGUGUGAGCAGUGUGAGUGAAACAGACUAGACAAGGCAUGGCUGUCCUAACCACCUCAAAAGUAUACUCUUGUGUCAAGAAUCUGAGUACAAAGCAUGACUCUUGGGAGAGAAAGCAGCAUGCGGUGUGUGUGUAGAUGUGUGUGUUAAAGUUCAAACUAUAUCUCAGAAAAUGAAAAAAGCAUUCAGCUUCACAAAACAGGUGGAAGCAUGGCAGAGAUUUAUAAAGGAUGGGACUGGUUACCCUGGAAACAGGUUUGAAUUUUUUCUUCAAACAAGAUGCUCACUGUUGACCUAUUUCUAAAUGCUUUGUAUGGAUUUAAGGUGCAACUUUUUGCAAAGUUUAUAUAAAAAGGUUGUGUACCACUUAAAGGCAUUACUUUAUUUCCCCCUCACUUAUAAGCUAAUGAAGUGAGACAGAUACUUGAGAACAAUAAUGCAGAAAUAGCAAUAAUCUACAAAUAUGUGAUAAAAAAAUCUUAACAAGAAUUUGUAUUCAAUGCAUUUAAAGUACUUGUGAACACAAAAAUAUUUUGGCCUACAUGCUAUUUUCUUCACAAUAACUACUUCAAAAAUGUCAAUUGGCUGCUGUUUAGGGAAAUAAGCUACCCUACAUCCUAUUACAGAUUGUACAAACCUGAGAUAAAUUUCCACCAGAUAUUUAACAUUAUUUUCUCUUUCACAGUCUCACUGCCUAAGGUUUGUUUAUUUUUGUAAGAACUGACACUUUACAUAACAUUUUUGCAUGAAGCCUAUUAAAAUUGGCACUCAGUUCUGAUAAUGCCUUUAAUGCAGUGCAUUAGCAACAGAGAGAAAACUGAAUCUAAAUCAAUCUACUUUUCUCAUCAUGUCCUAUUAAAUUUCAGGGUACAGGAAAAUGAAAACAGAAAGAAUCAUUACUGCAGGGAUAAUGCAUGAGGCAGGUGUAGAGCAACAUGUGUUGCUAAUUUAGGGAUACUCCUGGGCAGUCUGGAUGUCUAAGUGGUACAGUACAUUCUAGCAUCAUACCCCAGAAGCAAUCAGCGUUGCCUGGUUCAAUUGUCUAGCAUCAUCUGAUCUAACACAUUCUGGGAACAUUUAGUCUCUGUUCUUUGGCAUCAUAGGAAGACAAUGUUGGGGAAUGGGCAAAAAGAAAGGAAAGCCAAAAAUUCAUCAACUGAAAUUCAACUGAAUCCAGAAGAAAAUAAUUGGGGAUUAUAAAAAACAAUACUGUGCAAAUAUAAUUGGGUUAUAUUUCUAAUGUACUAGUAGUUUACACCAUUAUGCCUAAUUGAUAGUGUGAUUUUUAGACUCACUCUCAAGGUCACAAUAUACAGGCUUUCUUCUGAAGCCUACCAUUGCUUAUUAAUUGCUGGAGAAAACAGAUGGAUUUGCUUGCACUAGGGAAUCUUUCUUACAGUAAAUUAUAUUAAAAGUU
rnacentral:lncRNA from 7 species